GCUUGCAGUAUCCAUCAUCCAAAGACAAAUCCUGACACUGGGUUUUAGAAGUGGUCAGACACAUUACACAACAGGUUGUAUAGAGAAUUUUGUUUGUCAGUUAUGGGGGGAUAUCACUUUUUUGCUUGCUCUCUCACUCACUCACACUUACACACACAUACACACACAAAUAAUAACAAUGUUCUUUUUUUGCCCCCUUUGCUGAUCUCCUGUUUCAAUCAAUCUUUGUGCUGAGUGUCACCACCAGCAGCAGCAACAGCAGCAUCACUUGCUGCCAGCCAGCCAGCUACAAAAGUGCUCCAGCCUUGUUGCAGAUUUCCUUUUUCCUAUUUUCUCUUUCUAACGGCAGAGACUGGCAGCAUUCAAAACAAACAUGCAAAAACUAAUAAAUAAUGAAGGUAAACAUUUGUAUAUAUAUAUAUAUAUAUAUACACUUAUAUAUUCAAUAGUGAACAUGCAUGGAAAAAAGGCGAGAACAAGGAGAAGGAGAAGAAGAAGAAGAAGACAAAGCAGAAGAAUGAGGGUUGUGCUAGGCAUGACAAAUGGCAUUAAAAAGGUGGCGGCGCAUUACCAAACAGACCGGAAGCAGAACUGUGAUUGUAAAAAGGUACAAAAAUGUGUAUAUAUAUAUAUAUAUAUAUACACGGAAAAGUUAUGGAAAAGUAACAAUAUAUAUAUAUAUAUAUAUAUAAGGUAGGAUGAAAUGGAUGUCUUUUGCCAGGUCUUUGUGUCCAAGCAGUGUUUCUUUUUCUUCUUCUUCUGCCAUUUUUUUUUUUUGACAGAGAGCCUGUCUCCCUGUAUGUGUUUGCUCCUGACUUCUAUGUGGCAUUUUCCCUUCCAGUUCAGCAUUCAAUUUUUCAACUUAUUCCAUCCAUUUCUGAGCUGGUUCUUCUUCUGCUUUUCCCAGACAAGCCUGCAGCAAAUCACAACAGACACAUAGCAGUGGCAUACUUGUGCAUUAACUUCAUCCCCCCCCCCUCUAUUGCAAUACAACUGGGCAUGAAGCCUCUCCAUCCCCCCUCCUCUUCCCCUUUUUCCCCUUUUAAAUAAAUAAAAUAAAAAAUAAAUAUGUGCAUACAAUUUUCUAGCAUUGCUAUAAAAUAUAAUCACCUCAUCAUCAUACAGCUAAGCUGCUAUCAAACUCUUCAGUUUUGCAGGUUUGGGAACUGCAGCAACUGGCUGCAGAUACACAGUAGAACAACUCAUCAUCAAUGAAGGCUGUACUAACCCAAAUGCGUAGAAAACAUAUACAUAUAUAGAUAUAGAUACACUUCACAAAAGUUGAAUUAUUAUCUCCUUCCUCUGUUUUUCUGAAGGAAGUUUGAAUUGUGAUUAGAAUGUUCCCUGUGUGUGUGAGAGAGAGAAUGGGUUGAAAGUGAAGAAUCUGAUCUCAAGAACAGUGGCAUGCAGACAGCCACCAACCGCAGAGGACACAGUGUGUUAUUGUUUCAACCAUAACAAACAACAAACAAACAACCACUGCUGCUGCAGUUAGGUAGGUUUCCUUGGAGCCAGCUGGAACCAGCACCACCCAAACAAACACAGGAGCACAAAAGAAUAGAAGAAUAGAAGGAGUUGCUUCCUAUGGCUUUUUCCAUCUUAGAUUGAUCAAUAACAAUAACAAUUCUACACACAAUAACAACAACUACUCAAUAACAAACUCUCGUAUUCUUUGUCAAUGUUCAAAAAGAUUGUUUGAAUACACAGAAACCCUAACAGAAGUAAACAAGCUUGUGUCUGCAAAUGCAUGUAAUGAUGUGUGUGUGUACCCAAAAUCCCUCUUGCUAAUUAAAGAUGGAGACAGGUUUCUGGUGUGCUCAAUUUGUGGGUUUGAAUUGAAAGUUUGUUGUGCAAGGUGGAGUGUGUUUUGGUGUGAUUGAUGGCCCCAGAUAGGCUUCCAAGGUGGUCAUUUUAGUAUGUGAAGGUUUGAUGUAUUCCAAUACAAACAAGUUGGGGUGUUCCGUUGGCUUGGUUCCGCACAAACCCUAAUUUCCUUCUACUUCUUCUUCUUCUUCUUCUUCUGCUUCUAUUGAUUUUUUUGUAUGUCUUUUUGUGUCUUUCUAUGAUAUUAUGUGAGCUUUGUUACAAUGAAUAUAUGUCAUGUUGUGGGUGCCACAAGUUCUUAUUUGGGUACAUGCCUGCUGAUCAGGCAUAAGAAAAAGCAAAAGCUAAAUGCAAAAAGAGCAUGCAAGCCCAGGCUUUGAUUUUAAUUUUUCUAGGCCUUCAUCAGUCAGGGGAACAUGAAGAGAAUGUGUGGUCCUCUCCCAUGAAAGCACAUUUUGCACAUGAAUUUGUGCAUGUGCAAAACAUGGCCAUGUUCUCACCCAUUAUUUUUCUGUACCAAGGGUUUGUUUCCAACUCUAUAAAUAUUAUUUGUUUGUAUCACAUGCACAAGAAGAAAUAGUUGUUGUGCUCAUAGCCUCCAACAAACUAAGGACAUUACCCAGAUAUUGAACCAUGACAUUGUAUGUAAGCAUCUCCACACUUGAAAAAAAACAACAAUGAUAAUGACAACAAACAAUGUAAUGUAGAAGAAAAAAGAAAAAGAAGAAGAAAACAAACAUGUCACAACAUUCACUCGUGUAAUUUCAUUAACCGUGCAUCCAUCCCCUAAUCUUUUUCUACCUCUCUUUUUCCCCCCAUUUUUACAUAUUUUCUACAUGUUUUCAUACUCAAAACCAAUCCUCUGUGCAACCAUUAUCUUCUGACAAACACAAUUACACUUUUUUCAACUUCUAAAAACACAAUUCAUAAACCCUAAACCUUUGUCAUGGUUGAAUUCAUUCACAAUCCAUAAUAUUCAUGGUUCCAAUGUGUAUGAACAUUGGGGACGAACAUUUGAAUUAGGGUUUUUUUGGGGGGGUGGAGGGGGGAGAAAUAAUGCAACGAAACAUGGUUGUCCAGCUGGUGAGCAAUGUUUGUCCGCAUGUCUGUGACUUUGACUCUGUCUGUCUAUUUGUCCCUCUGUCUCUCUGUCCCUCUGUGUCCCUCUGUCUGUUGGUUUGUUUGUUUGUUUAUGUUGGCGAAAGCAGGAUCCAGUCGAGGAGCCCUAAACCAGGGCUCCCCAUGCAACCAACCCCCUCCCUUCUGCUUCUCAGGCGGGACUGACUGGGGAUGGGUGGGGCAGGCCACCGCGACACUGGACCCGGCCCGGCCUCACCCGCGCUGAGAACCUUGCGGUUCCACCGUAGGAAACACGGUCGUGGAACCGGGCCUCGGGUCUUUCGUGCUCCACCUGGAUCCCGCCAUCGUCCUGCCCUAUGUCCGUUCCCGCUAUCGAUUCGAAUCCGGAUACCGCAAUUUGGUGCUACCCCAUGGCCGUGGCUAGGAAGAGAUCCGAACCAACCUCCGAACCUGGAAACGAACUUCAACUGCGCUAGUGAAAAAAGAUUGCAGUCAAGCUGUUGCGGUGAAGAGGAGAAUAUUCUCGCGAGAAUCUGACGUGGCGGGGAACACUAUGCUUACAAUUUGUAGGCCCCGCUUUCACACUUACUAGAGUUUCUGAGGUGAAGCCCUCACACUUCAGGAUUUCAGCGUGAACUGUUUCCCAAAUUAUUCUCAAUUGAUCUGGUUAUCAUUGAAAAACAUGUGUGAUAUCACUCGCUGGCUCGCUCUCUCUCUCUCUCUCUCGCUUGUAUGUGUUUGGAGAUUCAUUUCUCAAUUGAUGGAUGUAUCUGGAGGGAGUGGAACAAACAUGCAACUUUAAUGCGGACAUUCAUCUUGAGUAAUUGUUAGCGGCUAAUCGAUUUUGACUUCAUGAUGCAUUAGCGCUGUGGAUUUCAUCCUUGAUAUUGUGGACGUAUACAUGUUAGAAGAAUAUAUAUAUAUAUAUAUAUAUAUAUAUAAGUACAAUAUAUCUCAUCUGAAACCAAAUAAGCUUUGGUUUUUGGUUUGCUGCUGGUGCGAUUUCCAUCCAGUGGUUCAAUUGCAAGUCAACGGGGACCUACGGUGGAGUGUCUUAGGUGUUCUGUCCACUUCUAAAUGUCUUUUAGGCUAUUCUUGUUCAUUCAAAUUCUAAAUAUGAAAAAACCUCUGCCAUGCACGCAAAUAGCAUGAGUAUCUUCAUAUCUAUGUUUGUAUGGCAUUGAAGGAGAAUUAAAGCAUACAAAACCUCAUUUGCAGAUUUUAAAACAUCAUAUACUGUAAUCUGAUGGAGUUUGACCUAGAUAUUGAAGAAUAUCCUGUGGGCAUUGCAAAUGAGUUUUCACUUUACGGAUUGAAUAAAGAAAAAAGAGACAUGAAAAUUGUGUGAAAAGAAUAUCAACAAUCAUGCCAACCUGUAAAAAUAUCCACAACUGCAACAGGUUAAAUGAUAACACUGUUAUUGUUUUUGUGUAUGGAAAUUAGUAUUCGAAUCAAUGUUACUGACGUUUUUAUAUAUUUUUCAACAAACCAAUUGAGCCAGAACAGAAGCUGGACUGACAGUUUGAAUGAGAAUAAAAUACAAACAAAAAUGAUGUGAAAGCUGAGCCAGAAAGGGGAGAUGCCAAGGUUGGACGUGGCCGGCUCACAACGCAGAAGCAAAUCGGAAAUUGAUUGGUUCAAGAAAUUUCCAGCUGGGCAAACGCUGUUCGGAAAAGCUGAGUCAGCAGACCAAAAGCUGAGGGGGGUUGCAUCCAAUGGGAUCGGCGCGCCGGGCCCUGCCAUGUCAUACAAUUAGUAAUGUAUGAUUCGGUAGAGGACUCCUUGCCUGACCAUCCAUCCAUCUCCCGUGACUGCCAUAGGAGAGGAGAGGAAAAAAAAAAACAGAGGCUCACACGACAUGUUCUGCUUGGAAUUAUGCGCUCUCAUUGAGUGGAACUGCGCUGCCCUGUUCUGACCUAUUCUACUCUGCUUUGCUCUGUUCUGCUGCGACGAUCCUCUGCUUCUUCAUUGUUUCUCCACCUUUUUGUCUCCGCUUCAUUAACAAAAGCGUAAUCCUCAUGACACAACUGCCAGUGGGGGUUCUGAAAGCUUGGCGACAAUCAGAGACGCUACCCAACCAAUUCGUUGGAGAAGCGCAUCGGCGAUGAAUUUUGUGUGGUAGCAGGGUGGUCCUGUGGCGCGUGGGAUCCGAUCUCACAUUCUACACACGGAGACGCGCGAGAUUGAUAAAUCGGUAGGUAGAUGGACAGGUAGAAAAGAAAGACGGAAAGGAGCAACGCAGAGCGAGAGCAGAGACAAAAGGAAUGUAUUCCUCUGCAGCUCGGCAGAAACUGAAACGGGGCAGGGCAGGGGCAGGGCUGGCGGAAGGGCCUUUGAUGAUGGCUGGCUGGGGCUUAGAAAGCCGGUGCGGUGCCGCAGGGAGGCUGCCGCACACUUGAGUGCGGUGCCACCACUUGGUGCAGGCAGGCGGGGGUGCGUCGUCUUUGCCUGACCAUUCGAUUCUCUGAUCCAUCCAUAGCCUGGGAGGCGCAUUCGACGAACUCCCUCUCUCCCUCUCUCCCUCUCUCCUUUCUUUCUUUCAUCUUUCUUCAUUGCUUCCCUCCUCUGCUACUGUAGCUGCGUCUUUCUUUCUUUCUUUCUUUCCGCUUGGAUGCUCUUUGCUGCAGAGACGAAGUGAAAUGAAGGGAAAGGGGAGAGGAGGACGACUGGAGGUGUGUGUGUGUGUGUGUUGUUGUUGGUUGGAUGAUAUUCGUAUUAUUAUUAUUAUUAUUAUUAUGCCCUGGCCUGUCCUUUUGGUCUGGAGAUCUGCCUGCAAAGGGUGGUCUGCUGGCUGCGCAACAGCUUUGGCUUUCUGUUGCAUCAUAAUAUUAUUCCAGCAGCACUGCCGCAGUGGCGCAUUCAUGAGCCCCUUGUCGCUGCCUUCUGGCCUCACCCUGAAACCUCCGUUCCUUCCCCUCCCCUCCCUCAGGGUUUGCCCUGCUGCCCUACUCCUACUGCAUUGCUUGCUUGCCUGGGUCUGUGUGUAUGUGUGUGUGAGUGGCUGUGUGUCUGUCCGGCUCCGUCUCUUCUGCUUGUCUCAGCAGGAAGCAGAAGCAGAUCUUCUCCGCUGCAGGUGUGGCUUCGCUGCUGCAGCUGCUGUCAUGCUCCAUGAAAAAUUCGCUGAAGCCUACGAUCCUCUCGUCUGGAAUCCAUCUUCCUAUGAUCAUAAAUAACUAAAUAAUAAUAACAAUAAUAAUAAUAAACUGAAAUUGAACUCUUGCUUAUUAUUCUCAUCUAACGAAAUUGAAUUGCGAGCACAUCAUAUACACUGCUCCGAAGGAAUCACACAAAAAUGAUUGAAUACUAGGAUAAACAUCAUGUGGAUCAACAAAAUCUAUGACAAUGACCAUGAUGCCUUUUAAGAAAAAGUUGCAUUGGGUAAAUUAAGGAAUUUUUUUUUAAAAAAAAAUCUACAACCUCGGUUUGGAAGGCCAUACUUAAAAAAUCUCCUCCUUGGUGAGAAAAAAGUAGUGUUUUGAAAGUCUUUAUUGAUAGAGAUAGUAGACUAUGAAAAGAAGCUAUUGUAUGAAUCAAAUCAUUUCGUUGUUUCAAUUUUGAAUAUGGCAUGCAAAAUCUUAAUUGUGACAAUUAUGACAUCUAUGCACAACUUCCUACAUUUUUGUCAAAAAAUCAUCUCUUAAUGAAAAAGUCAUCUCAACUUUUAAAAGAUAAUACUAUUAAUGAUAUAUGAAAAAUAAGAUACAUUCAACUUUAUUAUUUUAUGGCUUCUUAGUUGAUUUUCUAAUUAUAAUAGAGUCUUUAUAUAUAACUACCUAUUUCUUUAAAGGCCAUGGUAUAGAAGUCUUGGCUAACAAAACCUCUCGUUUAGAAGCCUUGGCAUUUAGAGAUAAUAUACAAAGAAAAGAAAAGAAAAAGAAGAAAAACUAAAAUUUACUAAAAUACAUCUUUUAUUAUAAGUCUAAAUGUUACAAAUCACAUCACAAUUCUCUCUCUCUCUAUAUAUAUAUAUAUAUAUAUAUAUAUUUCUUUAACACAACUUCUCAAUUUUUUUAUAAACCACAUAUUGAGGUAGGCCUCUUGUAAAUUUUUGUGAGAUAGUACUAUUUAUGCCAAAUAAAAAAGACACAUUUUACCUUAUAUUUUUUAAUGGCUUUUGAGUUGGUUUAUCUAAGUAAAAAUCCAACUAUGUGUAGCUUCUUAAUUUCAUCUAAUAAUUUAUUAAACUAUUACAUUCUAUUAGAAGAAACAACAUAAGAAAUAAAAAUUAAAUCAAAUUAAAUAUCUUUUAUAAUGUUUAAUAAAACAUAAAGUAAUUUAAAUUAUACAACUUUUUGUAGCUAUAGAAUUUGUAUAUUAUUGGUGAUUUUAUAACAUUUAUAACAAAUACCAUCCAUAGAUUGUAAAUUUAAAUAAUCAAAAUAAUUAGUUUAACUGAUCAAUAUACAUAAUAAUGGUAUUUAAUAGUAAUUAGAACAAAAAAUAUAACAAGUUGUUAUUUUUGAACUUUUCACAAGUCAUUUAUAUAGUUAUGUUGUAACAAAAACUAUAAUAUAACAAGGAGAAAUAAAUAUAAUUUAAUGUUAAAAAUUAAAUUUACUAUAUUUCUUAAUUUAUGCCUAUUUGAUCUUUAAAGCCAUCAUUUUAUAAAUAUAUCACACAUAACUAGGCAUAAUGUUAUUAUAAAAAGAUGAAAAUAACAGGCUUUAUCUUAUCCUAUUUUUAUUAUAUUUAAAGAUAAUACUUUUUAAUUAAGAUUAAUAUUGAGAUUUGUGAUUACUAACUCUCUGCUCUUAAAGUUCUAUUUUUAAACUCACUGGAAAUGUUAUGAGGUGCUUUUAGCUAAGUUACAAUUUAUGUUAAGCACAAAAAAAUAAUUAUCUUAUAUUGAUACUUGCCUUAAAUCCUCAUUAAGUCUAUUGAGAUACAUCUUUCUAAAAAGUUGCAUUCAAGAUUAUACUUUAUUCUAAAAUAUCAAAAAGACUUGUUAAACAUCUAAUGUGGAUAUUUUUAUUUUGCACCAAAAGAAUAAAAUGUUGCAUAGUUAACAGCAAACCAUUCUUUUGAAAUUUAAAGAAACUACAUCUUUGAACAAUACAAUCAACAAUUCAAGUUGAUUCCAAGUUCCUUGAUAAUAUUCAUUUAAUCAUGUUGAGAGAUCAUCUCCUUCUGAAGGUUAAAUAUAUAGUUAUGAUAAUUCAAGUAAACUUUGUUCUUCUUUUGAAAUAUAUAUCUUUCAAAUAUACAACUAAAUAUCUUUUAAGCACAACAUACUUUUUCUUAAUAGGAUAACAAUUUGGAUAUAAAAAAACUUUGAAGAUUGUUUAAAGAUGCUGCUUUUAUGAAAUUAUAUGUAAAGAAAAACUUCCAAUAUAUUUGUACAUCUUUGAAUUAUUUUUUCUUGGCUUAAACUGUUUCUUUCUCAAACUAUUUUAAUUCAAUUGUGUGUGUGUGUGUAUAUAUAUAUAUAUAUAUAUAUACAUAUACAUAAUACAAAAAAUCAUGUAGUUAUUUGGUAACUAAUAAUCACAUGAUAUUAAAAUUCAACUAUAGUUUUAUUUUAUAAAGAUAAAUAUCUUUUCUGUACAUAGAUGUAAGUAAGUAUAUAGUGGCAUGUUAUUUUACUUUUAAAGUUUAAAAUUGAAAUAACAGUGAGGAUAUUUACUUCUUAAAGUUAUCAUCAGAAAGAUUGAAUCUCAAUUAAUUUAAUCAAGAUAUUUUUAAAAUCAUUUAAGAUUCAAUACAUGUACCUCUGUUUUCGUACUAAAAAAAUCAUAUUCCCUCUGUGAUUGUAAAUCAAUAACAAAACCAAAAGUAAUUACAGUUCUCUAAAUUAGUUUAAUAAUAUAGACAUAAUUACAAGAACAUAUUGUGAAACAUUUACAAAAUAUUGCCAAUGAAAGUCUUAAAAAAGAAAAAAAAGAAAAAAAGAAAAAAAAAAGUUACUUAACUGCCAAAAAAAUCUAUAGAAAUUAACACUAUAUAUAUAUAUAUAUAUAUAUGUGUGUGUGUGUGUGUGUGUGUGUGUGUCGAUUUUCAUUGAUUUCAGAUCCAAUUGUGGAGAAAUAAAGUUAGAGGUAAUUUUAUUUCUUUUCAUGAUGGUUAGAAUGAAUGGAUAAAUUUAGUAAAAGCAUGAAACUAUUAUACAUUCUUGUGUGUGAAUGUAUGCAUGUAUAUAAAUAUAUGUAAAAUACAAGUCUAGUAGAGCUCCCAUAACAUCAUUGUUCUC
rnacentral:lncRNA from 1 species